GAUGAACGCUGGCGGCGUGCCUAAUACAUGCAAGUCGAGCGAAUGGAUUAAGAGCUUGCUCUUAUGAAGUUAGCGGCGGACGGGUGAGUAACACGUGGGUAACCUGCCCAUAAGACUGGGAUAACUCCGGGAAACCGGGGCUAAUACCGGAUAACAUUUUGAACCGCAUGGUUCGAAAUUGAAAGGCGGCUUCGGCUGUCACUUAUGGAUGGACCCGCGUCGCAUUAGCUAGUUGGUGAGGUAACGGCUCACCAAGGCAACGAUGCGUAGCCGACCUGGGACGGUGAUCGGCCACAAUGGGACUGAGACACGGCCCAGACUCCUACGGGAGGCAGCAGUAGGGAAUCUUCCGCAAUGGACGAAAGUCUGACGGAGCAACGCCGCGUGAGUGAUGAAGGCUUUCGGGUCGUAAAACUCUGUUGUUAGGGAAGAACAAGUGCUAGUUGAAUAAGCUGGCACCUUGACGGUACCUAACCAGAAAGCCACGGCUAACUACGUGCCAGCAGCCGCGGUAA
rnacentral:rRNA from 1 species